GGGGGGCCGGAGGAAGAGUCUUUAGGAGUCGGCUGUGGGGAGCGAGAGCUCCUGGUGCCACGGCUCUCGACCAGGUCAAUGAGUGGUCAUUGAAGAUAAGAAAGGAAAUGAGAGUUGUUGACAGGCAAAUAAGGGAUAUCCAAAGAGAAGAAGAAAAAGUGAAACGAUCAGUGAAAGAUGCUGCCAAGAAGGGCCAGAAGGAUGUCUGUGUAGUUCUGGCCAAGGAGAUGAUCAGGUCAAGGAAGGCUGUGAGCAAGCUGUAUGCAUCCAAAGCGCACAUGAACUCAGUGCUCAUGGGGAUGAAGAACCAGCUCGCGGUCUUGCGAGUGGCUGGUUCCCUGCAAAAGAGCACAGAAGUGAUGAAGGCCAUGCAAAGUCUUGUGAAGAUUCCAGAGAUUCAGGCCACCAUGAGGGAGUUGUCCAAAGAAAUGAUGAAGGCUGGGAUCAUAGAGGAGAUGUUAGAGGACACUUUUGAAAGCAUGGACGAUCAGGAAGAAAUGGAGGAAGAAGCAGAAAUGGAAAUUGACAGAAUUCUGUUUGAAAUUACAGCAGGGGCCUUGGGCAAAGCACCCAGUAAAGUGACCGAUGCCCUUCCAGAGCCAGAACCUUCAGGAGCGAUGGCUGCCUCAGAGGAUGAGGAGGAGGAGGAGGAGGCUCUGGAGGCCAUGCAGUCCCGGCUGGCCACACUCCGCAGCUAGGGGCUGCCUACCCCACUGGGUGUGCACAC
rnacentral:sRNA from 1 species